CACGUAGGGUGCGAGCGUUGUCCGGAACUAUUGGGCGUAAAGAGCUCGUAGGCGGUGUGUCGCGUCGGCCGUGAAAACCUGCAGCUUAACUGUGGGCUUGCGGUCGAUACGGGCAUCACUGGAGUUCGGCAGGGGAGACUGGAAUUCCUGGUGUAGCGGUGAAAUGCGUAGAUAUCGGGAGGAACACUUGUGGCGAAAGCGGCUCACUGGACCACAACUGACGCUGAGGAGCGAAAGCGUGGGGAGCAAACAGGG
rnacentral:rRNA from 1 species